UGCUGGUGGCACUUGAAGAGCUGUCAAAGCAUUUGCUUCAACUUAAUGACAUUCCACUAAAGGUGUCAACUGUGCAACCUCUGGACUCAGGAUGACAUCUGUCUUCCCGCCCAUGCUUCAUCCUUUGACACAAGAGAAGGGUAUUGAUAUAAAAUUGAGGAAACCUGUUUCAACCUGUAUAAAUCCAGCUGAAGUUGUGAUUCAGGCAUGAAGAGCUAUCUCUGCAUGGAUUUUGUUAUACAUUCUGCACUAAAUUCCACCCCCCCUCCCCUCCCAUUUUUUUUAAUAACUUGAAGGAUCUGGAAAUUAGCCAAAGGAUGAAAUUGCAAUAGAGAAAACAAAAACUGCGUUUCUUCUCAGAAUUGCGGAGAGGUUAGUCUUUCUUGAGUUUAUUUUCAGGAAUGAUAACAAACCGGCUAAACUACCGGGAAAGUUGAAAGAUUUCUCAAACUCCAAAAUUUAGCAAAUGAAGAAAAUUCUUCCCUGUCAUCAAAGUAACUAACAAUAGUUUCAUCAUAUAUUUAAUUGCCAUCAGCUGCAACUUCAAAGUUACAGAGCUCAAAUCAGGUAAACAUUAAUGUACGAUAACACAUUUGUUAUAAAAAUGCAAAAACUACGCAGAAAUUGUGCAGGAAAAUGUAGAAACUAUGCAAAGAUACAUAACGUAACAUCCUGGGAACUUGAGGGGCAUCAAGGAAGUCAUCCUCUUUUAAAUACUUUUUCCGAAUAUCUGGGAAGCGCUCAUAGAACCAAAUACAUAAUGAACUACGGAGUUAGGAUGCUGCUAUACAUCAUACAGUUUUUACAUUACUUCUUUUUGCUUUUAUCAGAACCAAGUCCAAUUGGUCUUUCAACUUUUGGGUGGAUAUGAGUAUCCUCAGGGUAUGGAAACUGUAGGUUUGCCAAGUUUAAACCAGGAGGAUUCUGUGGACUAUCCAUUGCACUGUGCAGAUCCAAAAAGACUUGAAUUCCUCAUUAGAUUCCGUGAAAAGAGGAAAAGGCGAUACUAUGGAAAGAAGAUCAGAUAUGAUGUCCACCAAGAAGUUGCAUUCAGGAAGCUGGUCCAGAUGGGGGAAGAUCCAGCAGCACUUUGAAGAGCUUCUAAAGAAUAACACAUCCAUAUUCGUGAAAGAUCAGAUCUUUGGGGUUUUGGGUUGAUUAGCGAUCUUUUCUUCAGUUUAGGUGAAAACAAGCUGAGAUUGUUAGAAGUUCAUCAACAUAUCUGCUUGCGGAGGGCAAUUUCGUCCUCACAGUGUUAUUGUGCUAUGAAAAAUUCUUGUCGUAUCCCUGUACCGGCUGAUUUUAGCUGUUUAGAGAAAGGCUACAUAUAUAGGUAAUUUCGCAAGCUAACUGACUAUCACCGCUUAAUUCUCUGCAAUACCAAGAUUUUCCUCCGCAUCUCUGUCGUCUCUUUGUUUUGAUUCUCUUGGCUUCUCCGAUGAUUUCUGUCUUUUUCAUGUUGCACAUCAAUUUCUGUUAUAUAUUGCGGGAUAGUUUAACAGGAGAUUGUGGUUUUUAUUGUGUUUUUGCAAUUCUAUAUUUGCUCAAGAUAAUAACAUGAUUAAAAGGUUAGUUUUACUGUGCUGUUUCUUUUCCUUCAUAGGGGUGUCUCCUGCGUUUUGUUUCAGGGUUCUUGUUGGAUUGUUCGAAUAUUCAUUAUAAUUUUAUCUUAAAUUUUUGUGAAACUCAAAAAACUGCUUAAGAAGAAAUUGGGGUUUCCGCAUAUUUGAAGGUUUUAUCAUUUUUAAAAAUUGGGGCUUUCAUAAUGGAUGAUCCUUUAACUUUCUUGGAUUUGACUUUUGAGCUACACUUUUAAUGGGCUUCUGGUUUAUUUUAAAUUUUCCCUGUAUUUACAUGAAAAAAGAUGACUUGAAAAAAGAUGACUUAAUCCUUCAUUAUUUGCAAGUUUUGUAUUAUCACGUUCUUAUUUCCCAUGCCGAAUUUUACCUUCACAAACUAUGAGAUUUUAAGUUCCUUCAAUCGAGAUUGGCUUUACUAUCACGUAAAUAAUGUAAGACAAAAGAAUACCUACGAUGAAUACUAUUUUUGAACUGCAUAAAUUGUGCUAAGUCGUAGUAGUUAUAGUACUAUUGUCCAAUUAAUUAAUCCGCCAGUUGAUAUGCAUAAUUGUAGUCCGGAGGAGACGAUACACAUUUUUGCUUUUAGAUCAAGAACUAGAGUUAUUGCUAUAACUACACUUGUGAUAAAGAAGUCACUUCUACACUUUUAUCACCGAAAGAGAUAACAUUUUCUAUUUUACACAACCAAUUCCUUUGAAAACAUCUAAUGGAUUUUAUUUUAUUCUAUUCAGACACUAUUAUUCGUCCAUUGGUCGAGCAGGAUUUUCAAAGCUUGCAGCAAUUAUUCCUGAUUUUUUUUUGGAUUUACUAUCCGAAUAAUUACUGUGCACGUAUUUUGUUAUAUGUUUAACUUGCAUUUUAAAGUUGCUUAGUUAUGUAUAUAUAAUUAUUUUCUCUCUGUGUUGCUGAAGUUGGACUGGCUCAAUAAAUUUCUUGAGCAUGUGUCCUUAUUUGGACAACGUACUCUUCAUUUCUUAAAAGUAUCUUGAAUAGGUAACUAGCUUGUGCUAAACUAUUUUGUAUAAACUAGCUACUUACAGGACUGCAAAAAAAUAUUGUUGGAGAGCGAAUUUUGAAAGUAUAAAAUUAACUCUGCGGAAAUUGAAACAUCGAAUGGGGUUCUUUACCUACUAAAGCAGGUGCCUGAGCAUCAACAUACGACUCUUCGGGAGGUAACAUGUUUGCUAUGAUAACACCAAUCCAAGGUAGUGGAAGAGGAGUUACGCCGGGGAGCACCUGAGAAAUGCCAAGUUGUGUAAACUCGCUGAGCAGGUUGUCUUCUCGGAUCCAUACAAAUUGUCACAAUAUAAUCAGUACACAUCUCCUUAUGCAAACACCGGUGCAAAGAAUAAGUUAAUAAUUCAGAUCGACUUUGAAGGCACUGCUAAAAAAUAAGAAACCCAUUCAAUUGAGGUAGCCUCAACUCAGCUUUGUAGAUCUACUGAUGCUUCUCUUACAUCCGGUACCACCAAAAGAAUUGCUCAAUGGGCUUAGCACUGCACAGUUAUGAUAUUGUGCUAGAGGAGAGAAAGAGGCCUUUUACAAAGUGAGACAUUGCAAUGCUUCAAAAAGAUGCAGCUUUUGCAAGCGUAGUGUUGUGAUACAGGAAAUGGGGAGAGCUUGCCCUGCCAUCACACCAUUUUGUAAAUACAGUAAACAUUUUAGGUAUUUUCAAAGCCAACUUUUAACCUUUCAUUGCAACUUUAGCUGUAAAAGUGAGUUUUACAUCUUGGGCUGACUCAUUGUAUUUUCAAGACAACACACAUAUUACUUUUUGACAGCUGCAAAGUAAUUCCAUUUAGUCCAAAAAAUUAUACACAUACAGAUACUCUCCUCUUCAGAACUUAGUUUAUGAAUUACCUUAGCUUUUUCUCUGUGAAUUUCUGUAAUGACCCGACCCGUCAUUUAUUGCAUUUCAAUCCCGUUAUCCCCGUUUCAUGUUUCCCCGUAUGUUAUAUUGCGUGUUGGGUGAGUUCGGAGUGGUCCAGAUGGGUUUUAGAUGGAAAUGAGACACUUAGUCUCUUAUUGAAAGGCUUAAGUUGAAAGAGUUGACCCAAAGUUGACUUUCGGGUUAGAGAGCUCGGAACGGAUUUCUGACGGCUCGACUAGUUCCGGGGGAUGAUUUGUGACUGUGUGCGAAAUCGGAGGUGAAUUCGGAGGUCCGGAGUGAAAAUUAGAUAGGUUUGCCGAAGUUGGAAUUUCGGAAGAAUCCAGUUGCUAGGCGAGAAUUUGAUCCGGGGGUCGGAAUGAAAUUCCGACAGUUGCAUUAGCUCUGUUAGGUGAUUUUGGAUGUGUCUGCAAAUUUUCAGGUCAUUCGAAGAUGUCUAAGUCGGGUUUUUGAUUGGAUUAGUAAUUGGAAGGUUUAAGACCUUUUAGAAUUGAAAUCAUCGAACCUUGAGGAUUUUUGAUGUUUGUGAUAUUGUUUUUAUGGCCCGAGCAAGUUUGAAGGAAGUAUUAGGUUGAGUUUGUGUCUUUGAUUGAGGUCCCGGGGGCCUCGGGGUGAAAUCGGAGGUUGAACGGAGAAUUUUGAAAGAAUUGUGCUGCUGGUAUCUGGUAUUUCCGCUGGAGCGGAAGAGUGGCCGCCUACGCGGUCCCGCUGAGGCGGAAAUUUGACCGCAGGAGCGGUCUAAGGGACUUCUCAGGAAUUCGCUGAAGCGGAAAAUACUCCGCAUGAGCGGAAGUCGCUGAAGCGGAAAGUCAGUCGCUGAAGCGGAUUUGCAUCGCAGGAGCGGAAGGGUGUCCGCAGGAGCGGAACCGCUGAAGCGGCACAAGUUCCGCAGGAGCGGUCGCCCAGGUUUUGAAAGAAACCGCAGGAGCGGUCCUUUUUCCGCUGGAGCGGAAGCCGCAGGAG